rnacentral:ribozyme from 13 species
UUUUUUUUUUUUUUUUUUUUUUCUUUUUUUUUUUAC